AAACAAAGUGUCAAAAUCGGAGCAAGAUAGAUCAGUUAAGUAUCAAUGGCUCGAAAAAAUGACCCAUUUUGCCACCUUUCAACAACCACACUUCAACAAUAAACAUGCAAAAAAAUCGUCUAGCCUUACCAUCCAGUUAAUUGCUAAGUGGCCAACACGACCACCUAAGAUGUUUCCUGAAAUUCCUCGGUGCUCAUCGCAUCAUCCUGGUAAAACAGUUUUCCUUACUUCGAAGACCAUCAUAGAAUCCUAUAUUGCUGCCUUAAACAUUCACGGAAGAAGAAUAAUAGGAGAAUACCAACACUCAUCUAUAGAUACUCAUUCUAUGGGAGUCCCCAUUCAAACUGCAGGAGGUGACGUCUUUAAAAUAUAACUGCCUACGUCAAUACAUGUAAAGCAAAAGUCUCGACAUCAAAUUAAUCACAUGGUACAGGCAGGAACUACUCCAGUUCUUUAGAUUUCAGCUAAUCAUCGUCCUCAAGAACAUUCCGACGCCUCUGGAUCUGGGACAAAAUUAUCAACCANNNNNNNNNNNNNNNNNNNNNNNNNNNNNNNNNNNNNNNNNNNNNNNNNNNNNNNNNNNNNNNNNNNNNNNNNNNNNNNNNNNNNNNNNNNNNNNNNNNNCAACCCAACCCAUAUUACCAAAACACAUUAUAUUUGACUCAAUUUAGGGUAAAUUAACCCUCUCAUUUAAUUCACGUUAAGCUCUACAUAUAUAUGUUACAUGAAUAAAAACCGCGCGUCAAAUUUAAAAAGUAAAUUAAAAAAUAAAAAAUUAGUAAAUAAAAUAGAAAAUGUGAAAAACAUUUAAUUAAACCUAAGAAAGCUUAUUUUUUUUACAAUAUUUUAAAAAAAUUAUAUUGCUAAAACACUUUCAUGCAAUACAAAUUUAAUGGAAAAUUUAUAUAAUUUUUAAUUAUUAUUUUUUUCUUCUUUUCUUUUUCUUUUUCUUAAGCUGGCCGCUGACCACGACGACGGCCGGCAACUAGCUCACUAGAUCAACAAGCUUAAGAUUUGCCAGAUCGACGAGAUCAAGCUCGCCUAAUGCCGGCGAGCCUUGAGCCUCACCAGACUUCAGUGAGGUCUCAGCCUCGCUAGAUCAACGAAGAGCUCGAGUCUCGCCAAAUCGGCAAGGCCCGAGCCUCGCUAGUCAUGGGUGAGGCCUCAGCCUUGCCAGAUCGAUGAGCUCAAGCUCACUCGACACCAGCAAGCUCAAGUCUUGCCAAAUUGGUGAGGUUUGAGCCUCACUAGUCAUCCAUAACCUCAAGCUCGCCUAAGGUCAAGCCUCUCUUGGCCAAUCAUCAGCCGUCACCAUGCCAGCCACCGGCUAAGGAAGGAGGAAGAAGAAAAUGGGGGAAAAAAGAAAGAAAAAGGAAAAAUAAAAAAUAAAAUAAAAAUGAAACAUAAAAAUAAUUAUAAUUUCGAUUUUUAUAAAGAAAGCAUUUUCAUAAAGUUAAAGAGUGAAAGUGACUUUGAGGCUUGGGUUGAAAAUGGGUUCUAAAUCUAACUCAUUUAAGACCGAUUUAUUUUAAACUUUCAAUUUUUAAAUUCAUUUAACUAGUCUCUUCAAAAUGUAAGUGACCCAUUUUGUUGACACCUCUAAUUUUUAACGCCAUUUUAAUUUUUCACAUAACCAAAAGAGAAGAAGAGAGAGAGAGUGGCGAGAGUGAUUAAGGAUCAAAGAUGGGAUUGAUACCCUAAACUGGUCAUCGGGAGUAACUAACUCAUCGUUAAUUGCGUUUUCGUUUAACUGGAAUUUACCAUUAUUUUGUUUAUCUCCUUUAUGUAAAAACUUUAGUAAAAUUACAGAAACAGCCCCACGAAUAGUUCAACAAACUUUUUCUCUUUUGCAAACUUAAUCUCUUUAAACCAAAAGUUCAAUCUAUGUUCUUAUAAAAAAACGAUAAUACUUGACGCUGGACAAUCGAUGCAAGUGUACGAGAAUGCGGUAUUAAUAAGGUCAACAGAGGCUGCCAUCUUAAAUGCUUUCAUCUCGUUUAUAAUUUUCUCUCAUUGGUAACUAUUUUUCUCUUCCAAAGGUAUGAACUUAUAAUAUCAUUCUCCAAUGUCACGUAAGUAAGCUAAGAUUGUCUCGUAUAAGUUAAAUUCAUCACACAUAGUAUUCAAGGGAAAGUUCUUUUUUUUUCCCUCUCCUUCGCCCGAAGUUGUCCUAACGAUGUGGUCCUCAAGUUUUCCCUCUCCUUCGCCCGAAGUUGUCCUAACGAUGUGGUCCUCAAGUUUUUGUCGGGGUAGAGGAGAAGAAGAGCAAAGAGCUUCUUGAAUUCUCCAUGCCUGAUAAAUCGUCGACUGAGGAAGAAUAAACGUUGUUCUUCCCCAAAACAACAAUACUUAUAAUGAUAAAAGAAAGAAAAAGUAAGAACAAUAACUUGUUUCAUCGUCCCUCUUAGUUCCCCGAACGAUUUUUUUUAGUAUUACAAUUGAGUGUUCUCUUUUUAAUUGCAUGUCAAUUUCGAUUAUUUUCUUUAUUUAAAAAAUAGCGUACUCUAAUCGAAGGAAUGGAUGACAGACAGGGUCCUCUCAAAGUAUAUAAAGAAUAAAGCCUUAUAUCUCGCAAAUUUUGACCACUCGAUGAAGUUGCUAAUUCAAGAAUGAAGAGGAGGAGAAGUUUUAUUUCUAUGUCGGGGGUAUGAAUCGAACCAUAAUUAAUUACAGCAUUGCUAAUGAAUAAUCGGCUCGACUGUUAACUAAAGCAGUUGAAAUUUCAAACCAUUCAAAAUUACGAGUCCCAACUUUGACCCUAAAAAAGUUAAAAGACUCAUAAGGAGAGAGAUGAAACAGUUAGUUACUUAAAGUAGCAAUUUAUUGAUUAUCGAUGAAUGAUGCCACAUGUUGUAAUCACCUGAUGUUUUUCAAAUUAAGAUCGAUGGAUUGGAAGGCAAGAAAGAAAGAAAGAAAGAAAAAGAAAAAAAAAAAGCGAAGCAAGGUAGGUUCCACUAUUUUCUGCAAACAAAUCAUAUGGUUGCUCAAUAUCAUUUUUCAUGUGACUAGCAUGAACGAAUCCAUUGGGCAGGAUUAUGAGAGAAGAAAGGAAGCGCCAAUAAAUAGAUUGAUUAUCAGGAAAGAAGAUAAUUCGAAACGUUGUUGGGAAAAAAACAAACAUUAAUCUGAGCUUGGUUCCAAAGAGACAAAAGGAAGAGAGUAUUAGAGACAGGACCACCAUAACCUGACGAGAAAUUGCUUUUGGCGCUGCCCAGGUGCACUUGGUUGUCUCCUUGGUGUCGCAACCUAUUUUUUUGAGUCACCGACAAAUAGAUUUAGAAGUAUAUACUCAAAAAACAGUAUAAAUUGACAUCCUAAAAAACAGCUCAAACACAUCAUUUAAUGGUUGAUCCAAACGAUUCAUUGAUUUUGAGUGUAAGCUCUCCCAAACCUAUAUCUCGCUUAACAUUAGACAUUUUCUAUAUUAUUUAACAACUAAGUUUUUUUUAGGAGUCACUACUAGUCAUUUUGGGUUGACUAGAAUCCAAUUGAGACGCGAGAGUAUCUUCUUAAUUUAUUCGGAUUAGAGAUUCUAAGCAUGGGAACUUGAUUAUGCUAAUGUUUUUAUUAAUGCCCUUUCGAUGCCUAAAUAGUUUAUUACCUAAGUGAUCAUGCCAAUAUUUUUGCAGGGUUAUUUUCAAUAUUGUCAAAACUAGACCUAGCCUAAUCUAGAAAAGAAAUUAACACACGAUUUAUUAAAAAGCGAUGCGAAAAGUAAGCACUCAACCUAUUGAAAUGCAAUGUUGUAUAUAAACAACCAAGAAAUUAUCUAAAUGCGAGAAAAGAAAACCCGAUUCAACAUCGAGCAAAAACUAUUAGAUGACCAUGUCAUAAGCCCCGAGACAUGAUCCCUCACGCACUAAAAUUUAAUCAAGUUUAAUUCCUCGCCUAAAAGGUUGACCUCCUAAAAAAGACUAAAUUAUAUCAAGCAUUUGCUAAAAAAAGUCUAAUCAUAUAUAUCAGCUAAAAUGAGACCAGGCUAAACCUAAAACUUACAUAAAACAACCCAUUCAAAGCUUGAUUCUAAGACUAUUUCUGAUUUUUUUUAAAUAUUUUCGAUCUUUAGUUUUUUAAAAUAAAAAUACGUUUUUAUUCCGAAAAUAAGGACUCAGGCCCUGGGCCUGGAUCCACAAAUUUAAAGUAAUGCAUAACCUAAACGUGACCUCUAAAUAUUUAUGGAAUUCUAACUAAUACUUUUUGGGUUUUUCUUUUAUAAUAAGAAAUUAAACUAUAAUCAAUGCAUGGGAUGCAAUCUUCAUUUUAAAUUAUGUGUCGAGCUAAUUUAACAUGAAAAGUAAUAUGCAAUCUGUCGACCUAAUUUUAAUGACAAUUAAAAUUAAUGCACUAAUUUAAGUGGCAUAAAUCUUGAUUUAUAUGACCCUAAAUAUGCAAUUACUAAAUUACAUGGAAACUAUGACACGGCAUAUGACAUUGCAAUGGCAUGGCGACAAUGAUGAUGUGAAAAUUAUAUGGCGAUGACAUAGCAACAUGAUGUGGCAAUCAUAAGGCAUAGAUGACAUGAUAAUAAUGCAACUUAUUCUAAAUGAUAUGCAUGAUAUUAUUAUUUUUUGUGAUUUUUAAAAUCUUCUAAUCUAAUUUAGGAAAUAAUUUAGAUAAAAUCCUAUUAUAAAUUAGCAAAUUAUAUAAGAUACUAUUGAUCCUAAAUAUGCAAUUCUGAGAUAGCAAAUAAAUAUGAAUGCAAUCUAAUAUUCAUGCCAUGCAAAUUUUUUUAUAUAAUUAUUUAAGAUAGGGAAGUUUACUAAAAAUCAACACAAGCAAUAAACCAAAUAAACCAUAUAAUUCGCCAAGGUCCGCAACACAAAGUCAAAUUAAUGAAAAGCCUAAUCCUCUCUCACGGCUCAAUAUUCUUAAGUAUUUCGACUUUCAAUACAGCAACUUUCCUAAUCAGUUAAUGCCUAGCAUUUUCCAAAGGUUAUAAUCAAAUAAUUCGAAUUAGGCAAUAUAAUAUAAUAUUGAACAAGUAAACUAAAAAAUUACCUAAAAACGGCAAGGGUAUUCACGCGAGGCAUGUCCAGCCAAGGAGCAGCAACCAGAGCGUCCCUAACGUGUGAGAAACUCAACGAGCCCGGCUGGACAGUGUAUCAAUGAUGGUGCAAUAGGCGCGGCGAGGGAUAAGACACAGCGGCGGAGGCAAGCGCAAGUGCGAACAUGGCAAUGGCGGAGGACCACAAGCGGUUGUAGGAGUCCUAAGAACUUGGUUCUUUCUUAGGUCUCUUCUGUGACGUGCACUUGUAUGUUCAAGAAUUGGAGAAUGUGUCUAAUGUUGGGUGAUCUUUGGCCUCUCUCAACCAAAAGCUAAAUCAAAGCUUUUCUUUAUACUUAUAAAUCGACCACCGGUCCCUUCCACAACCGAUGAGGAACAACCUCAAUAAUCUCCCCCUUUUGAUACCUCAACCAAUGGGAUCCCAUCACUCAAAGAAGCUAUGGAAGCAGUACCAGCUAUGGCCACUGCAAAUGUAGCCAUGCCCAUCAACAAAUGCCAUGAGGCCACCGAUCUGGUUUAAGGUUCUAGAAUAUAUAGAGUAGGUUUUGAGUUCCAUAAAUUGAGUAACCUGUUUUGAUUAGUAGGUUCUAAGUUAUAAGGGGAACCGAGAACCUAGAACAAGUCUUUGUGUUUUCCUUAUGCUAUGUUUUCACAUGAUCGUGCGACAUUCCAUAGCGUCCAAUAAUGUGUGUAAUAUGAAAUCACUAAUAGGAGCUUCCAAAUCCCGCGAUAUCCAUAACUGAGACUUUUACUUUAUUAUUAUCUUAUAAUUUUAUGUAUAAAUAUGAAUUGCGAUCGAUAGAUUGUAGCAAAUGGUGGUUAUUAAAGAUGAUAAUUGUUUUCAUUUCUACUACAGUACUACCACAAUCCACCAUAGUAUGAACAAUAUUUCUACAGUGAUAACUACAAUCAUUCAAUUAAGAAUAUAGAUUAAAUCUAGAUAGACCUUAGAACUGGUAAUAAGAACUGGUAAUAAGGUAAGUCUCAAAGUAUGUAGAGUAGGUUCUAGGUUCCAAAAUUUAGGAAAUCGAUUUCGAUGAGUAGGUUUGAGGUUCUAGAUGGAACUUGAAAUUGCUCACCUCUAAAUAUUACAUGUGAGGACCUCACUAGCUAACAGUAUAGAAACAAUACAAUAACAUGACAAUCUUUUCUCCUCUCUUUUAUCAAAGAACAUAAUACAUCAAACAAAGUAAUAUAUUAAUAAUAGUUUGUUUUUUGUAAUGUAUAUAUUAAUAAUAGUUAAAAUUUGACUGUGAUGGCUAUAUUGCCAGGUACAUGCAUGCGCACCCUUUAUGGAACCACGCAAGUCAUACUCCACUUUUUGCAUUGUAGGCAAAACUUUUCCAGUAAGUUUUUUGCAAAAUUAUAAAGCUACGUUUGAUUGUUUGGAUUUCUAAUUAUGAUAUGAUUGAAUAUAAUAGGAUAUUAAAUCAAGGGAAUUUUACCGUAUCAUAGACAGUGUUUGGUGAUUCAAUAAUAAAGUUAGAUAUAUUCACAUCAUAUCAUAUUUAUUGUUUGGUUAAACCGCCAUAACAAUAUAAUUUAAUUAUAAAUUUUAUAGAUAUAGAUGGUAACAAUCUUUAUUUUUAUUUUUAUUUUCCUCUUUUUUAAUUAAUUUUUUUUAUUUCUUUCCUUCCCUUAUGUCAUUUUCUAAUAAAAUUUUAUUAAUAAAAUAUUGUAACAAUAUUCCCAAAAUUUUAAAAUACCUAAAAUAUGUAAUAAAUAUAAAUAUAUAUUAAUGUAUUGAGUUUUAUAUUAUAAAAUAGAAAUAAAUUCUAAUAUAUAAAUAAAAAUAACAUUAAAUUAAAAAAUAUUUUUUGCAUUAGGAUCCCGAUUCGCGGAUCUCUCGGUUUGAGAAAUAAAAAUAAGAGGGAACCCUUAUCUUCUAUACUAUCCAAUAUUUAUUGGAUAUUCUACUUUUCUAUAUUCAAUAUCUUAUAUCAGAAUUCAAAUAUUAUUUAUAUUAUAAUAUAAUUUUAAAUUUGUUAAUUUAAUAAAUUUUUUAUUUAAGGAAUACUUUCCUAUUAUGGACAUAGGGAUUCUAUUGACUUUUAUCCCACAUCUCAUGGGAUAAAUUUAUCCGACCUAUAUCUCAUUUAUAUCCAAUUUUAUCAUGUAUCAAGCAGACACCAAACGUAGGAUUAGAUAAAUUUUAUCCUGACUGCCAAAUGCAGCUUAAAGUAGUUUUUACUCUGUAAUCAUCUCUAAAUAUUCCCACAAGUGGAAGUUUCUUCAUCUUGGUCGAUUACCCAAAGCACGUACAUUACCGUUCACGCUGGCAUUAUCUUGUUGAAUUUGAUUGCGUAAUGUGGAAAUGAAGAGUUUGAAAUUUCCAUCUUCUAAGACUUCUAUUUAAAUGAGAUUCUUUAUCGAAUUUUCUAAAAAAAUUCUGAAUCAGAAUCUCGAAACCCCAAUUCAUUAAGCACAGCCACUGGCGAGACGCCACUACCACCAAGCAGCACGCCUUCACCACGGUCAAGCGGCUGCUACGCCCGGACGAUCCUUGAUCUUGACUCAUUUCUGUCUCGAUUUUCUCUCCUUGAGAGAGAGAGAGAGAGAGAGAGAGAGAGAGAGAGAGCACGAGAGGCAAAGGGGAGAUAAAGGCCGUACAAAUCGCUGUGGGCUAUAUGUGGUGGCCGUCGUCGCAAUCUGCCAGCAACAGCAAGCUCCAGAGUGGUCGUCGUUGCUACCAGUGCCGCCUCCACAGUUCCACCUCUGUAGAUUACGGUUUUCGUCGACAAUAUUGCAGACCAAUUUCUAGAUUUGACUUCUUUUUUAUUUUUUCCUUAAGUUAACUUUUGUCAACUUAAAGUAGGUUUAAUCAAAAUCCAUCAUGGCCCAAACCCUAUGGGCUUAACCUUUUUGAACCUAUCUUGACCUACACUUUACAAAAGUUGGGUACUCACAGAAAACCCUAUCCAAUUAAUUUGAGAUUGAAAAUUUUGAAAAAAUUGACCCAUUUUGCCACCUUUCAAACAACCACUUCAACAGUAAACAUGCAAAAGAAAUCGUCUAGCCUUACGAUCCGAUUAAUCGCUGAGUGGCCAACACGACCACCUAAGAUGUUUCCUGAAAUUCCACGGUGCUUAUCGCAUCAUCCUGGUAAAACAGCUUUCCUUACUUCGAAGACCAUCAUAGAAUCCUAUAUUGAUUCCUGCCUUAAACAUUCACGGAAGAAGAAUAAUAGGAGAAUACCAACACUCAUCUAUAGAUACUCAUUCUAUGGGAGUCCCCAUUCAAACUGCAGGAGGUGACGUCUUUAAAAUAUAACUGCCUACGUCAAUACAUGUAAAGCAAAAGUCUCGACAUCAAAUUAAUCACAUGGUACAGGCAGGAACUACUCCAGUUCUUUAGAUUUCAGCUAAUCAUCGUCCUCAAGAACAUUCCGACGCCUCUGGAU
rnacentral:lncRNA from 1 species